ACAUUCGUGGUAUCUGACCACUGUCUGCAGCAUGCCUUCAGUCUGCACCAUAGUCUUUGCUCCAAUCUCCUACUAGCCUACCAGAGCCUCUUUGGCUACUUCACCUCUAUUACCAAGGACCUGCCUUCCUCCCAUCGUAUGGAAUUAGCCAAGCCCAGCAUGCAAGUCCUAUAUGAGAGAGUACUCAGAAGACCAUAUCCCCGAAGUCAAAGGCACGUCUACAUAGAGCAACUCGACUUAGAGGCCCGGCUAGCUGAGUUAUGUGAACAAGUCAAGGUAAGUCCCAUUGAAUGCUGCUAUUUUCUGUCUGAUAAAUGUCC